rnacentral:rRNA from 1 species
AUUGAACGCUGGCGGCAUGCUUUACACAUGCAAGUCGAACGGCAGCGGGGGCUUCGGCCUGCCGGCGAGUGGCGAACGGGUGAGUAAUACAUCGGAACGUAUCCUUGAGUGGGGAAUAACGCAUCGAAAGAUGUGCUAAUACCGCAUACCUCUAAGGAGAAAAGCAGGGGACAGAAAUGCCUUGCGCUGAAGGAGCGGCCGAUGUCUGAUUAGCUAGUUGGUGGGGUAAAAGCCUACCAAGGCGACGAUCAGUAGUUGGUCUG